CUUGGUCAUUUAGAGGAAGUAAAAGUCGUAACAAGGUUUCCGUAGGUGAACCUGCGAAAGGAUCAUUAUUGAAUAAACCUGAUGAGUUGUAGCUGGCUCCUAGGAGCAUGUGCACGCUUGUCAUCUUUGUCUAUCCACCUGUGCACAAUCUGUAGUCUUCGGGGGGGAAUUAAACGUUCUCUCUCGAGUCUAUGUGUUUUUCAUACACUACAUAGCAUGUCGCAGAAUGUAAUCAAUGGGCUUCUAUGCCUAUAAAACGUUAUAUACAACUUUCAGCAACGGAUCUCUUGGCUCUCGCAUCGAUGAAGAACGCAGCGAAAUGCGAUAAGUAAUGUGAAUUGCAGAAUUCAGUGAAUCAUCGAAUCUUUGAACGCACCUUGCGCUCCUUGGUAUUCCGAGGAGCAUGCCUGUUUGAGUGUCAUUAAAUUCUCAACCCAUUCAGUUAUUGUGACUGAUAUGUGGAUUGGAUAUUGGGGGUUUGUGCCGGCCCUAGAGGUCAGCUCCCCUGAAAUGCAUUAGCCGAACGGUUUGCGAUCCCGUCACUUGGUGUGAUAAUUAUCUACGCCAUUAGGAAUCGCUCUCAGUCUUGUUCAGCUUACAAUAGUCCGACUUGGACAACCACUAUUGAAAGUUUGACCUCAAAUCAGGUAGGAUUACCCGCUGAACUUAAGCAUAUCAAUAAGCGGAGGA
rnacentral:rRNA from 1 species